rnacentral:rRNA from 1 species
AGCAGUGGGGAAUAUUGGACAAUGGGCGAAAGCCUGAUCCAGCCAUGCCGCGUGUGUGAAGAAGGUCUUCGGAUUGUAAAGCACUUUAAGUUGGGAGGAAGGGCAUUAACCUAAUACGUUAGUGCUUUGACGUUACCGACAGAAUAAGCACCGGCUAACUCUGUGCCAGCAGCCGCGGUAAUACAGAGGGUGCAAGCGUUAAUCGGAAUUACUGGGCGUAAAGCGCGCGUAGGUGGUUUGUUAAGUUGAAUGUGAAAUCCCCGGGCUCAACCUGGGAACUGCAUCCAAAACUGGCAAGCUAGAGUAUGGUAGAGGGUGGUGGAAUUUCCUGUGUAGCGGUGAAAUGCGUAGAUAUAGGAAGGAACACCAGUGGCGAAAGCGACCGCCUGGACUGAUACUGACACUGAGG